UUAAGCGAACAAGCGUACACGGUGGAUGCCCUGGCAGUCAGAGGCGAUGAAGGACGUGCUAAUCUGCGAAAAGCGCCGGUAAGGUGAUAUGAACCGUUAUAGCCGGCGAUGUCCGAAUGGGGAAACCCAGUGUGAUUCGUCACACUAUCUCAGCAUGAAUACAUAGUGCUGUGAGGCGAACCGGGGGAACUGAAACAUCUAAGUACCCCGAGGAAAAGAAAUCAACCGAGAUUCCCCCAGUAGCGGCGAGCGAACGGGGAACAGCCCAGAGCCUGAAUCAGCUUGUGUGUCAGUGGAACGGUCUGGAAAGGCCGGCGAUACAGGGUGACAGCCCCGUACACGAAGGCACACAGGCUGUGAGCUCGAUGAGUAGGGCGGGACACGUGAUAUCCUGUCUGAAGAUGGGGGGACCAUCCUCCAAGGCUAAAUACUCCUGACUGACCGAUAGUGAACCAGUACCGUGAGGGAAAGGCGAAAAGAACCCCGGCGAGGGGAGUGAAACAGAACCUGAAACCGUGUACGUACAAGCAGUGGGAGCCUUCGUAAGAGGGUGACUGCGUACCUUUUGUAUAAUGGGUCAGCGACUUAUAUUCUGUAGCAAGGUUAACCGUAUAGGGGAGCCGAAGGGAAACCGAGUCUUAAUUGGGCGUUAAGUUGCAGGGUAUAGACCCGAAACCCGGUGAUCUAGCCAUGGGCAGGUUGAAGGUUGGGUAACACUAACUGGAGGACCGAACCGACUAAUGUUGAAAAAUUAGCGGAUGACCUGUGGCUGGGGGUGAAAGGCCAAUCAAACCGGGAGAUAGCUGGUUCUCCCCGAAAGCUAUUUAGGUAGCGCCUCGUGAACUCAUCUUCGGGGGUAGAGCACUGUUUCGGCUAGGGGGCCAUCCCGGCUUACCAACCCGAUGCAAACUACGAAUACCGAAGAAUGUUAUCACGGGAGACACACGGCGGGUGCUAACGUCCGUCGUGAAGAGGGAAACAACCCAGACCGCCAGCUAAGGUCCCAAAGUCAUGGUUAAGUGGGAAACGAUGUGGGAAGGCACAGACAGCCAGGAUGUUGGCUUAGAAGCAGCCAUCAUUUAAAGAAAGCGUAAUAGCUCACUGGUCGAGUCGGCCUGCGCGGAAGAUGUAACGGGGCUAAACCAUGCACCGAAGCUGCGGCAGCGACACUUAUGUGUUGUUGGGUAGGGGAGCGUUCUGUAAGCCUGCGAAGGUGUGCUGUGAGGCAUGCUGGAGGUAUCAGAAGUGCGAAUGCUGACAUAAGUAACGAUAAAGCGGGUGAAAAGCCCGCUCGCCGGAAGACCAAGGGUUCCUGUCCAACGUUAAUCGGGGCAGGGUGAGUCGACCCCUAAGGCGAGGCCGAAAGGCGUAGUCGAUGGGAAACAGGUUAAUAUUCCUGUACUUGGUGUUACUGCGAAGGGGGGACGGAGAAGGCUAUGUUGGCCGGGCGACGGUUGUCCCGGUUUAAGCGUGUAGGUGUGUGUUCCAGGUAAAUCCGGUUCACUUUAACACUGAGGCGUGAUGACGAGGCACUACGGUGCUGAAGUAACAAAUGCCCUGCUUCCAGGAAAAGCCUCUAAGCAUCAGGUAACAUCAAAUCGUACCCCAAACCGACACAGGUGGUCAGGUAGAGAAUACCAAGGCGCUUGAGAGAACUCGGGUGAAGGAACUAGGCAAAAUGGUGCCGUAACUUCGGGAGAAGGCACGCUGACAUGUAGGUGAAGCCCCUGCGGGUGGAGCUGAAGUCAGUCGAAGAUACCAGCUGGCUGCAACUGUUUAUUAAAAACACAGCACUGUGCAAACACGAAAGUGGACGUAUACGGUGUGACGCCUGCCCGGUGCCGGAAGGUUAAUUGAUGGGGUUAUCGCAAGAGAAGCUCCUGAUCGAAGCCCCGGUAAACGGCGGCCGUAACUAUAACGGUCCUAAGGUAGCGAAAUUCCUUGUCGGGUAAGUUCCGACCUGCACGAAUGGCGUAAUGAUGGCCAGGCUGUCUCCACCCGAGACUCAGUGAAAUUGAACUCGCUGUGAAGAUGCAGUGUACCCGCGGCAAGACGGAAAGACCCCGUGAACCUUUACUACAGCUUGACACUGAACAUUGAGCCUUGAUGUGUAGGAUAGGUGGGAGGCUUUGAAGCGUGGACGCCAGUCUGCGUGGAGCCAACCUUGAAAUACCACCCUUUAAUGUUUGAUGUUCUAACCUGGCGCCCUAAUCGGGCGUGGGGACAGUGUCUGGUGGGUAGUUUGACUGGGGCGGUCUCCUCCCAAAGUGUAACGGAGGAGCACGAAGGUCAGCUAAUCCUGGUCGGACAUCAGGAGGUUAGUGCAAUGGCAUAAGCUGGCUUGACUGCGAGAGUGACGGCUCGAGCAGGUGCGAAAGCAGGUCAUAGUGAUCCGGUGGUUCUGUAUGGAAGGGCCAUCGCUCAACGGAUAAAAGGUACUCCGGGGAUAACAGGCUGAUACCGCCCAAGAGUUCAUAUCGACGGCGGUGUUUGGCACCUCGAUGUCGGCUCAUCACAUCCUGGGGCUGAAGUAGGUCCCAAGGGUAUGGCUGUUCGCCAUUUAAAGUGGUACGCGAGCUGGGUUUAGAACGUCGUGAGACAGUUCGGUCCCUAUCUGCCGUGGGCGCUGGAGAAUUGAGGGGGGCUGCUCCCAGUACGAGAGGACCGGAGUGGACGCAUCACUGGUGUUCGGGUUGUCAUGCCAAUGGCACUGCCCGGUAGCUAAAUGCGGAAGAGAUAAGUGCUGAAAGCAUCUAAGCACGAAACUUGCCCCGAGAUGAGUUCUCCCUGACUCCUUGAGAGUCCUGAAGGAACGUUGAAGACGACGACGUUGAUAGGCCGGGUGUGUAAGCGCAGCGAUGCGUUGAGCUAACCGGUACUAAUGAACCGUGAGGCUUAACCUU
rnacentral:rRNA from 1 species